GUUUUACCUUGACGAAUUGUAGUUUAAAGAAGUGUUUUCUGUUGGUGUUUUGGUAAAAGUUCUUUGGAAUAGGACAUCAUAGAGGGUGAGAAUCCCGUAUUUGACCAUUACUUCCAGCGUUGUGAUACACUUUCAAAGAGUCGGAUUGUUUGGGAAUGCAGUCCAAAAUGGGUGGUAAAUUUCAUCUAAAGCUAAAUAUUGGCGAGAGACCGAUAGCGAACAAGUACCGUGAGGGAAAGAUGAAAAGAACUUUGAAAAGAGAGUUAAACAGUACGUGAAAUUGUCAAAAGGGAAGCGUUUGACACCAGUGUUGUUUUCUCGAAAAUCAAUUAAAAAGUGUUGGAUUUUGUAUUGUUAAGACCUUAUCAGCUUACUGUACUCUUUUCCUACUCUUUUU
rnacentral:rRNA from 1 species